rnacentral:tRNA from 1 species
CAAGAGGUAGUUUAUAAAAAUAUUAGUUUUGGGGACUAAAGAUAAGUUUGUACUUUCUCUUGA